GAUGAACGCUAGCGGGAGGCUUAAUACAUGCAAGUCGAGCGGUAGAUUGACUUCGGUUGAUUGAGAGCGGCGCACGGGUGAGUAACGCGUACGUGACCUGCCCUUAAGAGGGGGAUAGCCCUGGGAAACUGGGAGUAAUCCGCCAUGUGUUUGUGAAGCUGCAUGGUUUUACAAAUAAAGCUGAGGCGCUUAAGGAUGGGCGUGCGUCUGAUUAGGUAGUUGGCAGGGUAACGGCCUACCAAGCCUACGAUCAGUAGGGGGCGUGAGAGCGUGGCCCCCCACACGGGUACUGAGACACGGACCCGACUCCUACGGGAGGCAGCAGUGGGGAAGUCUUAGACAAUGGGGGAAACCCGUAGAUCUAGCCAUGCCGCGUGGACGAUGAAGGCCUUAGGGUUGUAAAGUCCUUUCAGCUGGGAAGAUAAUGACGGUACCAGCAGAAGAAGCCCCGGCUAACUCCGUG
rnacentral:rRNA from 1 species